rnacentral:rRNA from 1 species
GACGAACGCUGGCGGCGUGCUUAACACAUGCAAGUCGAACGAAGAGCGAUGGAAGCUUGCUUCUAUACGUCUUAGUGGCGAACGGGUGAGUAACGCGUAAUCACCCUGUCCUUCAGAGGGGGACAACAGUUGGACACGACUGCUAAUACCGCAUACGAUCUAAUCUCGGCAUCGAGGAUAGAUGAACGGUUGUGUCUACACGUAUGCUAUCACCGAAGGCGGGUAUUGCGGCUGAUUAGCUAGUUGGUGGGGUAACGGCCCACCAAGGCGAGGACCAGGAGCCGGACGGGGAAGAUGGAUAGCCACAAUGGGACUGAGACACGGCCCAGUCGCCCUCGGGAAGCAGCAAGGAGGAAACCUGCGGAAGGGGCGGAAGUCAUGCGGGACAACGCCGCGGGAGGGAUGACGGCCGUCGGGUUGGAAAGAUCUGUUUAUCGGGACGAAAGGCCUUCGUGCGAAGAGUGAGAAGGAUUGACGGUACCUGAAUAGAAAGCCACGGCUAACUACGUG